CGGUAUUUUAACUCUUUAAUAUAUUUUGGUAUAUGUGUUAACCAUGGCUGUCUCCUGCUGUCUCUCUGUAUAUUGGAUAAACCUGGCUGUCUCUCUGUCUAUCUGUUAAACCUAUUAAUAGUCUCUUGCGGUCUGACUGUAUAUCUAUUAGCUCUGGCUGUCUUUGUACCUACAUACUCCACCAGUCUAAGGCUGUCUCUAUGAUGGUCUCCCUGUAUAUCUAUUAUCCCAGCAGUCUCUCUCUGAUAAAUAUAUAAAAGAGACUGUUCUUUGUAUAUCUGACUGUUAGCCCUAGUAGUCU